UUGAAAAGGUAGUGAAUGAAAUAUGAAAUAUGAAAUGCUUUGGAUUGUCAUUUUCUUUAGAUCCAAAACGUGUUGCAACCACAUGUGAGACCUUUUCACUUAGUGGAAUAUUGAUCCUUAAAUACAAGCAUGGCAGCAACGUUUUUUCUCCUCAGAAAGACACCAACAACACUUUUCACUCCAAAAGAAACAUAAUAGUAACGUUAUUUCCCAAAACAUAGCAGCAAGUUGUCCUUCCAAAAGAGAACAACAAUGUUUCCAUUUACGUUGGGGAGAUCGAAGGUUAUUUUAUAGUGAAGUAAGGAGGAAGAAGAUUAUUUCUUGGCAUAUAAGGUAACGACAUGACAUUGGGGGAGAGCAAGUGAACGAUAACAUAGCUAAACGACAGAGGUAGACAGGGAGACGAUUUUGAUCCAGAUGCAUAGGAGUUAGCGGCUGAUUUGAGAGCACUCCAUUGUUCGGAGGUGCUUACGGUUAUUCUGUUGUGUAUAUCUAUGUAUAUUUUGGGCAUGAAGGAGUCUUGUUCCGCCUAUAUGUAUAGUACUUCAGUAGAGGCUCGUAGGUACGCAGUGUGGGUAGUAUGGUCUUACAGUUUUUACGUAUAUGCAUAUUACUAUUUUGAUAGCCUAAGGGCUUAUGUUUAUAAAA